rnacentral:lncRNA from 1 species
UUUAGGGAUUUCUUUCACUUUCACGAAUGUGAGCUUGAAUGCAUGAAUCUUAGUUGAUUUUCCACCUCUAGAGAGUAUUUAUAGCCUCCAUUUGGACUUGAGAGUAUCUUAGUGUCAGUUAAGAGCUGUUGGAGAGUAUUUAAUAUGCAUUAAAUACAUCAAAAAUAGAUUGAAAACUAGCCGUUAUGCAUGCUCGCCAGAAUGAGACGUCCCAUGGGAUGCCUCAUUGGCAAUG